GGCGUAGUGGCUCAGUUGGAAUACCCUCUAGCUUAUGUAAUGAGAAGGUCCCCGGUUCGAUCCCGGCAGCAGCCA